GAUGAACGCUAGCGGCAGGCUUAAUACAUGCAAGUCGAGGGGCAGCGCAGUGUAGCAAUACAUGGGCGGCGACCGGCAAACGGGUGCGGAACACGUACACAACCUUCCUUUCAGCGGGGAAUAGCCCAGAGAAAUUUGGAUUAAUACCCCAUAGUACUAGAUGGUGGCAUCACUGAAUAGUUAAAGAUUUAUCACUGAAAGAUGGGUGUGCGUCUGAUUAGGUAGUUGGUGAGGUAACGGCUCACCAAGCCGACGAUCAGUAACAGGUGUGAGAGCACGACCAGUCACACGGGCACUGAGACACGGGCCCGACUCCUACGGGAGGCAGCAGUAAGGAAUAUUGGUCAAUGGACGGAAGUCUGAACCAGCCAUGCCGCGUGGAGGAUGAAGGUCCUCUGGAUUGUAAACUUCUUUUAUAAGGGAAGAAACCCGGGAAUUCUUUUCCGGUUGACGGUACCUUAGGAAUAAGCACCGGCUAACUCCGUGCCAGCAGCCGCCGUAAGAC
rnacentral:rRNA from 1 species